rnacentral:rRNA from 1 species
ACUACGGGAGGCAGCAGUGAGGAAUAUUGGUCAAUGGGCGGAAGCCUGAACCAGCCAAGUAGCGUGCGGGAUGAAGGCCCUACGGGUCGUAAACCGCUUUUGCACGGGGAUAACACCCUCCACUUGUGGAGGUCUGCAGGUACCGUGCGAAGAAGCGCCGGCUAAUUCCGUGCCAGCAGCCGCGGUAAUACGGAAGGCCAGACCGUUAUCCUGAUUCAUUGGGCUUAAAUGGGGCGUAGUCGGUCGUUCAAGUCAUAUGUACAAUCGCGCGGAUCAACCGCGCCCCGGAGUUGACACUGGACGCCUUGAGUUCACAACAGGCAGGCGGAAGUCGUGGUGUAGCGGUGAAAUGCAUAGAUAUCACGAGGAACCCCGAUUGCGAAGGCAGCCUGCCGGGGUGCGACUGACGCUGAGGCUCGAAGGUGCGGGUAUCAAACAGGAUUAGAUACCCGAGUAGUC